rnacentral:tRNA from 1 species
GCGAGCUUAACUCAACUGGGAGAGUGCAUCCCUUACAAGGAUGAAGUUACAGGUUCGAGUCCCGUAGUUCGCA